rnacentral:rRNA from 1 species
CAGUAGCCGCGGUAAUGCGAAGGGUGCAAGCGUUAAUCGGAAUUACUGGGCGUAAAGCGUGCGUAGGCGGUGAGUUAAGUCUGCUGUGAAAUCCCCGGGCUCAACCUGGGAAUGGCAGUGGAUACUGGCUCGCUAGAGUGUGUCAGAGGAUGGUGGAAUUCCCGGUGUAGCGGUGAAAUGCGUAGAGAUCGGGAGGAACAUCAGUGGCGAAGGCGGCCAUCUGGGACAACACUGACGCUGAGGCACGAAAGCGUGGGGAGCAAACAGGAUUAGAUACCCGCGUAGUCCCUGUCUCUUAUAC